UUUGUUGAUAUCAGCUGGUGAUUGAACUUGGGACCUCUAACACCUAUUAUUAUAAACUGAAAGGUAAUGUUGUACCUAUAUAUUUAUGGUUUGUAACGCUUGUUAUGAAUUAUUUCUCUUUAUAUAUUAUCCAAUUGUUUGUACUUAACGUAGUAUUAACAUCAGAUGCAAAACUGUUUGUUGUUCGUGUUUAAAGCUAAGUACUUUGUUAUUUCGUAAUUUUACGUUUUAUUAGUUUUUAUGCCCCAUUUAUGGGCAUUAUGUUUUCUGGUCUGUGCGUCCGUUCGUCCGUCCGUCCGUUCGUCCGUCCGUUCGUUCGUUCGUCCGUCCGUUCGUUCGUUCGUCCGUCUGUCCUGCUUCAGGUUAAAGUUUUUGGUCGAGGUAGUUUUUGAUGAGUUUGAAGUCUAAUCAACUGAAACUAGUACAUAUGUCUGUAUGAUAUGAUAUUUCUAAUUUAAUCCAAAUUAGAGAUUUAACCCCAUUUCACGGUCCACUGAACAUAGAAAAUGAUAGUGCGGAUGGGGCAUCCGUGUACUGGGGACAAAUUCUUGUUAUAAUAAUGUUAAACUAAAACUACAGUGACCAGAUCCAAAAUUUCAAAAUCAAAAUACAAAGGUUAGGUUUUUAACUAUUAUUAUUUUGAUUGCAGCCAUACAGUCCGAAUGACAAUUAAACUCGGUAAAUAUGAGACUUUUCCUCACUUGGUCCCCGUACUAUAAUGGGCAUUAUAUUAUUAAACUUUGCUUUAUAUAUAUACUGAGUGCCAAUGAAAACGCAACACUUUUGUUUUUCAAAAAUCUAUAAUUUAUUUUAUUAUAUUAGACUUUGUAUAAUUGUUGAAAUGCUUUUAAGACAAUUGUCGACAACGGUUGAGGAUUUUUGGAACAAAUGCGAAGUAAGAGUUAUUUUGAACGACAUAAAUCGAGUUCACCGCUUUUCAACAUGCAUUUUCACGAUUUUCAUUUAAACUUGGCUAAUGUCAUAAAUUUUCACGCCCUUAUUGUUAAGAAACUGCAAUUAACAUCUGAGUAAAUGCCAGGACUUUCUGACAUUCAGCGACAUGCAGUUUUGGGCAUGAUCCAAUGAAGCAUUUCACAGCAUACAAUAACGAAAAGACUGAAGUUGUAGCUUCUACAAUAGCCCAAAUCAUUCAUAAAUUCAACCAAAAUGGAUCAUUUAAUGAUAAGCCACAUCCCGGGGUACAAAAAGAAAGAAACGCUCAGCAAGACCGUUACACUUGGUCUUUAACAUAUCCGAUAUCGACUCUGAUCCAAAGGUCACGAGUGUUCAAUGGUGGCCAUGAUAGAACCUUUGGAUCAAUUUCAGAAAAUCACCAUUUGCGCAGAAAUUGUUAAAAAGCACCAGUCUUUCCUUAGUGACAUCUAAACGGCCGUCUGGCGUAAACAUCGAUUCUGUAGACCAAAAUUCAUCAUUAUGUACCAAAAACCGUCAGUGAUGGGUUACAAGACAUUUGACCCGCCUUGGCCCAAAAGUCAUGCUUUUAGCCGGAUUUUGGUCCGAUCGAGCAAAUUUUGCACCAGAUUUGACAUGGUUUAGACGAUGAAAACAAACACCAAUAUCAUAAAGUCAGCUUGACUGUGCUUUUGCGGGACAUGUGGAAUAACAUUCCUUGGGAUCACAUUAAACGUCGGGGAUAAUCAAUUCCACGGCGCUGUCGAGAUUGCGCUGCACCACGGGGUUGUAACAUUUUUUGUUAGGACUGUGAGUUGAUGAUUCGACAUUGGAUGUUUCGUUUACCUAUUGCGCCAGAAAGAUGACAAUGAAACAUUUUUGUUUGAUAUCGAUCUAUUGUUAAGAUUGUUAAUUUUCAAGAACUAUAAUUUAUUUUAAAAGAUUAUCAUUUCUAAUAUAAAUUUUAUUUAUGAAAAAGCAAAUGUUGCGGUUUCAUUGGCGCUCAGUAUAUAUCCCAGUAUAUAUUAUAGUACGUCAAACGCUUUUUUCAUAACAAACAAAUGAGAGAGAGAGAGAGAGAGAGAGAGAGAGAGAGAGAGAGAGAGAGAGAGAGAGAGGCGGAGGAUACCAUAGAGACAUGCAACUCUUACAGAAAAAGAAUUAUGUCGUUAUCUUUUAAGUCACAAUAACUGUUCAAUAUUGUAUGCAUAAUAUAUUAGCGGGAUCUUGCAAAACAAAAAUUAGACUAAAGACACAAAUAUGGGGAGCAAGAAGAAAAAAUAACAAUCAGAUCAAAAUCAAUAGAUUUUCCAGAGAAAACUGACAAAUAGAUCUAAUAAUAUAAGAACAAAUACAUUAGGUUAUUCCACAGAACAGUCAAAAAGUAUUGAAAUAACAAAAAUACCACACUCCAAGGAAAAUUCUAAACGAAAAGUCCUAAAGCAAACGCCAAAAUCAAAACCUCACACAUCAAAAUGGAUAACAACUGUCACAUUACUGAUUUGGUAAAUGCAUUUUCUUAAGUAGAAAUUGGUUGAUUCAGUCAGGUUUUAUUGCUAGCUUAACCUGUCACUUGCAUGAGAGUUGCUAACAGUACUAUUAUAUUGACAACGAUGUGUAAAAAAUUCCAAACAGACAUAAGGAAUUAUUAAAGCUAGCUGAAACUCUCUCUUGUAUAAAAGCGAUACUGAAAUUAAUGCAAUACAAUCUGUUAACAGAUAUAAAGAUAUAAUACAUUGUACAUUGUUGUACAAUAUUAACCAAUGAUUUGAAUUCAAUUUUUAAAAAUGUGAUUUUUUUCAACAGUCAGUCGCAUCAAUUAAUUCGUGUGAAAUUUUAAAAUAAUUUAUCCCCUGUAUUUUAGAUGGCUUCCUCAGAUGUUGUACUGUGUGGUAUCUGUGAUGUUCAGCAUGUUUCACACGUUGCUGAUUACUGGUGUCCUGAAUGUGAUGAAGGUCUGUGUUCGACAUGUAAAAAAUACCACAGCGUAUCAAAGGCUUCCAGACAGCAUGGGAUCAUUUCUAUUGACGACUACAAGAAACUUCCGGCUGAGAUUUGUAAAAUUGAACAGAAUUGUAGAGAGCAUAACCGGAAAUUCCAAAUGUUUUGCCCACGUCAUGACAAACUUUGUUGUCUAAUUUGCAUAUCCGAAAACCACAAAGAAUGCACCGGAAUGUUCCCUAUUGACGAAGCCAUCAAGUCUUCGAGAUCUUCCACUCCACUUUGUUUGACAGUUUGGAAAAGUCACUAAAAGAAAUUCAGGAAAACAUUGAAAGAGUAGUAAAAGAUCGGGAAGC
rnacentral:lncRNA from 1 species